UUAGGGAGAUGAAGAACAACGAGCAAGGAGAUCACUUGUUGUUCUUUGUGAUCUUCAUCGAAGAAAAGUGUGGUUUGAUGAGCGCACAGCUAAUGCCAUAUGCAAUGCAUGCUUUCACAGUUCUUCAAGGGUUAUGCUAGCUGCUCUUUCUUUCCUUCUUGGUUUUGAACACAUUGAAGAUGAUGCUGACGAUAGUGAAGUCUCAAGUAGUGAUGACGAUGAAAUUAAUCAAAAUCCACAAGUUGUUCUUAACAGGGAGGAUGUUUAUAAGGCAAAACACAAGGGCACUGCUUCUAGCAAGAGAAAAAAGAAGGCAAAAUUGCAACGUGUUAUUCGUAGUAUGAAACGACAGCAACGUCGAUCAUCAGAGAAGAGUGGCUCAUAUUCCUAUUCACCUCUUGUUCAUCUAAAAGACGCACAGGGUUUUACCGAGAAGCUCUUCUCUCGUCUUCAUACGUGUAGUGAGAAAUUUGAGGUUAGGAUGAUGAUGCUGAAAGUAAUUGCAAGAACUAUUGGAUUGCACGGCCUAAUCUUGUUAAACUUUUAUCCGUUUCUUCAAAGAUAUGUCCAGCCUCAUCAGCGUGAUGUGACAAAUUUACUUGCUGCAGGAAUACAGGCAUGCCAUGAUAAGGUACCUCCUGAUGCAGUGGAACCACUGUUUAAACAAAUUGUUAAUCAAUUUGUGCACGAUCGAUCACGUCCUGAGGCAAUCGCCGUUGGAUUAAAUGUAGUAAGAGAAAUGUGCCUUAGAAUGCCUCUGUUGAUGAAUGAAGACUUGCUUCAAGACUUGGCCUUAUACAAGAAGUCUCAUGAGAAAGCUGUUUCAAUUGCUGCACGCUCCUUGAUCACUUUAUUCAGAGAGGUAUAUUUCAAAAUAUGCCCAUCAUUAUUGGUCAAGAAAGACCGUGGCCGCCCCAUUGAUCCAACGGCUAGGCCAAAAGCAUUUGGAGAAGUUAGUAUUGCCAGUGAUGUGCCUGGUAUAGAGUUACUCCAACAUGAGGAUGAGCUAACCACCAGUUCUGAUGAUGAUAUGGAUACUGGUGAUGCUGUUAUUGAAGUAAAUCAUUCCUGGCCUCUUGGAACUGAUGAGGCUACUGGUGAAUUGGAAGAAGAUGCUGAUACUAAAGAAGAUGAAGGUUCUGCUAAAGAUGAUGGAGAAGAAGGCAAUGCAAUCAAUCUUAAUGGCAAUGCCAGUGAUGAUAGUGAUGAUUUGGAUGCUGGUGUCGAGUUGGACAGUAAUGACGAAGGGUCAGAGCAUGAUGACUGGGCUGAUGCCAGUGAUUAUGAAGAAAUAGAUGAAAUAAAAGCACAGCAGACAUCUGCUGAGUAUGAUGAAGAUAAUGAAGAUGAUAGUGGUGAUGAUGUUGAAAACAGCGAUGUUGAAAAAGUGGAAGAUGAGCCAAGGAAAAAGAGGAGGAAGCUAGAAGAUCAUGUUGGAAAUUUGAAUGCCGCAGAUGCAAGCCUACGAGCUCUGAAAAGACUAGCAGGAAUCAAGACUGCUAAAGCUUCAACUGAUGAAGCUGACGGCUUUCUUUCUAAUGAAGAUUUCCAACGUAUUAAAAAGCUGAAGGCAAGUAAAGAAGCAAAGCAGGCAUUAUCUCAACAUGGUCUUUUAGGAAAGGAUGCUAAAUCUACAUCAACAACUUUCAAAAUCCCAUCUUCUGAGCAGCUCAGCACAAAACGUUUGGAUCCCUCUAAAUUAGAAGUUCUCUGUUGCCCGACCAUGUGGCUAUCCUGUGUGGUGACAUGAGGACUUACAAAAGAAAAGAAAGGGAUGGGGUUCUCUUGCUUCUGGCAUAGUUCGUCUUCCCUGGAAGGCCCACACAACAAGCAAUUACCUCAGUUGUAGAGUCAUUAAUGUAGUGAUGACAAUGCCUGGGAAGUUCCUACCAUUAAAAUAGUAUGAGAUAUUGACAGGCAAGCGUAUUCUUUAGGUGCAAGCUGAUAGUACAUGCUCUUUAGUGUGCUUCUCUAAUAUGUAUAUGUGUUUAUUUUACUUGCAUUGAAAAGGUGGGAUUUAGAUCUUCUGUCCCUCUUCCAUCUUGGUUUCGAAAUUCCAGCUUUUCCAAUCAUGCCCUCAGAAAGGGCAAGGCCCUUUGGCGUCAGACCACUCAACGUAGCCUGGGGCGUGGCACAAUUUUUCUGCUCAAUUGAAACCGAAGAAGCAAGCUCGCCUUGCUGAUCCGACUUUCCGGCACACAUCAGGAAUAAGCUUAGCAAGGAGGAAAGAUUAGCCCUGGUUAGAGCAGGCAGAGAAGACAGAGGACAAUACCAGGCCAGAGCUGCCGUGAAACAGAAAAAGACCGGCGGCCUGAGCAACCGGCAGAAACAGCAC